AGCAGCCGCGGUAAUUCCAGCUCCAAUAGCGUAUAUUAAAGUUGUUGCAGUUAAAAAGCUCGUAGUUGAAUUUCGGGGUCAGUAGAUUGGUCGUGCCACUGGUAUGUACUGGUCUUACUGGCUCCUCCUUCCUGAUGAACCGUAAUGCCAUUAAUUUGGUGUUGCGGGGAGACUGGACUGUUACUUUGAAAAAUUAGAGUGUUUAAAGCAGGCUAACGCUUGAAUACAUUAGCAUGGAAUAAUGAAAUAGGACGUUCGAUCUUAUUUUGUUGGUUUCUAAGAUUGACGUAAUGAUUAAUAGGGAUAGUUGGGGGCAUUAGUAUUCAAUUGUCAGAGGUGAAAUUCUUGGAUUUAUUGAAGACUAACUACUGCGAAAGCAUUUGCCAAGGAUGUUUUCAUUAAUCAAGAACGAAAGUUAGGGGAUCGAAGACGAUCAGAUACCGUCGUAGUCUUAACCAUAAACUAUGCCGACUAGGGAUCGGAUGAUGUUAAUUUUUAAUGACUCAUUCGGCGCCUUAAC
rnacentral:misc_RNA from 1 species